rnacentral:rRNA from 1 species
AAUAUUAAUUACGAAAGCAAAAAAUUAUGGCGGUAUUUUAAGCUUUUCAGAGGAAUUUGCUCUUUAAUGGAUAAAACACCUAGAUCUUACUUAAAUUAGCGCUUUUCAGUUUGUAUACCACUAUUAUAAUAAUAAUUUAUUAUUAUUAUUAAUAUUCUUGCAUUUAGAAAAAAAUUAAGUCAAGGUGCAGCAUAAAUUUAUGAAUGAAGUGAAUUACAUUUCUUUUUAGAAAAAAAAAAUUGAAAUAAGACGUUUAGGAUUUGAUAGUAAAAUUAAAAUACAAAG